UUCGGUGCCGCAGCUAACGCAAUAAGUAUUCCACCUGGGGAGUACGUUCGCAAGAAUGAAACUCAAAGGAAUUGACGGGGACCCGCACAAGCGGUGGAGCAUGUGGUUUAAUUCGAAGCAACGCGAAGAACCUUACCAAGUCUUGACAUCCCAUUGACAGUAUAUGUAAAGUAUAGUCCCUACGGGGCAAUGGAGACAGGUGGUGCAUGGUUGUCGUCAGCUCGUGUCGUGAGAUGUUGGGUUAAGUCCCGCAACGAGCGCAACCCUUAUUCUUAGUAGCCAGCAGGUGAAGCUGGGCACUCUAGGGAGACUGCCGGGGAUAACCCGGAGGAAGGUGGGGAUGACGUCAAAUCAUCAUGCCCCUUAUGAUUUGGGCUACACACGUGCUACAAUGGCGUAAACAAAGGGAAGCGACCCUGUGAAGGCAAGCGAAUCCCAAAAAUAACGUCUCAGUUCGGAUUGUAGUCUGCAACUCGACUACAUGAAGCUGGAAUCGCUAGUAAUCGCGAGUCAGAAUGUCGCGGUGAAUACGUUCCCGGGUCUUGUACACACCGCCCGUCACACCACGGGAGUCGGAAAUGCCCGAAGUCAGUGACCUAACCCUCAUCAGUGAGCAUAACGGAUUGUGAUAAUGGAAGGAAAAGAGAGCCAUUAUUAUGAGAGAAAAGAAAUAGGAAGCAAAAAGUUGUGUUUAGUGAUGAGGGAAGGAGCUGCCGAAGGUGGAGCCGGUAACUGGGGUGAAGUCGUAAC
rnacentral:rRNA from 1 species